rnacentral:tRNA from 1 species
GGAGAUGUAGCUCAGUGAUAGUACUUGCCUAGCAUGCAUGAAUCCUGGGUUCUAUUCCCAGCAUCACAA